rnacentral:rRNA from 1 species
GUAGGGAAUAUUGCACAAUGGGGGAAACCCUGAUGCAGCGACGCCGCGUGAGUGAUGAAGGCCUUCGGGUCGUAAAGCUCUGUCGUAUGGGACUAACACAAUGAAGGUACCAUGCAAGAAAGGAUCGGCUAACUUCGUGCCAGCAGCCGCGGUAAGACGAGGGAUCCUAGCGUUGUUCGGAAUCAUUGGGCGUAAAGCGGGUGUAGGCGGAUUUAUAAGUCAGGUGUGAAAUCCCAGGGCUCAACCCUGGAAGUGCACUUGAUACUGUAGAUCUUGAGUGUGGUAGAGGUGACUGGAAUUGUUGGUGUAGUGGUGAAAUACGUAGAUAUCAACAGGAAUACCGGAGGCGAAGGCGAGUAACUGGGCCAACACUGACGCUGAGACCCGAAAGCGUGGGGAUCAAACAGGAUUAGAUACCCGAGUAGUCC